AGAGUUUGAUCAUGGCUCAGGACGAACGCUGGCGGCGUGCUUAACACAUGCAAGUCGAGCGGUGAAGCCCCUUCGGGGGUGGAUCAGCGGCGAACGGGUGAGUAACACGUGGGCAACCUGCCCUCAGCACUGGGAUAACCCCGAGAAAUCGGGGCUAAUACCGGAUACGACCACCGACGGCAUCAUCGGUGGUGGAAAGUUCCGGCGGCUGAGGAUGGGCCCGCGGCCUAUCAGCUUGUUGGUGGGGUGACGGCCUACCAAGGCGACGACGGGUAGCCGGCCUGAGAGGGCGACCGGCCACACUGGGACUGAGACACGGCCCAGACUCCUACGGGAGGCAGCAGUGGGGAAUAUUGCGCAAUGGGCGAAAGCCUGACGCAGCGACGCCGCGUGAGGGACGAAGGCCUUCGGGUUGUAAACCUCUUUCAGCAGGGACGAAGCGAAAGUGACUGUACCUGCAGAAGAAGCACCGGCUAACUACGUGCCAGCAGCCGCGGUAAUACGUAGGGUGCGAGCGUUGUCCGGAAUUAUUGGGCGUAAAGAGCUCGUAGGCGGUCUGUCGCGUCGGAUGUGAAAACUCAGGGCUUAACCCUGGGCCUGCAGUGGAUACGGGCUGGCUGGAGGCAGGCAGGGGAGAACGGAAUUCCCGGUGUAGCGGUGAAAUGCGCAGAUAUCGGGAGGAACACCGGUGGCGAAGGCGGUUCUCUGGGCCUGUUCUGACGCUGAGGAGCGAAAGCGUGGGGAGCAAACAGGAUUAGAUACCCCCGUAGUCC
rnacentral:rRNA from 1 species